UAGAGUUUUGACUCCGUGGACUCGAGGACGAACGCUGGCGGCGUGCUUAACACAUGCAAGUCGAGCGGAAUAUGGGGGCUUGCUCCCAUAUUUAGCGGCGGACGGGUGAGUAACGCGUGAGCAACCUGCCUUAAACUGCGGGAUAACACUUAGAAAUAGGUGCUAAUACCGCAUAAGACCACACUUCGGCAUCGGAGAGGGGUAAAAGAUUUAUCGGUUUAAGAUGGGCUCGCGUCCCAUUAGUUAGUUGGUGAGGUAACGGCCCACCAAGACUGUGAUGGGUAGCCGACCUGAGAGGGUGAUCGGCCACAUUGGAACUGAGAAACGGUCCAAACUCCUACGGGAGGCAGCAGUGGGGAAUAUUGGGCAAUGGAGGCAACUCUGACCCAGCAACGCCGCGUGAGCGAUGAGGGUCUUCGGAUUGUAAAGCUCUGUCGCAGGGGACGAAGUAUGACGGUACCCUGUAAGAAAGCCCCGGCAAACUACGUG
rnacentral:rRNA from 1 species